rnacentral:rRNA from 1 species
AUGAACGCUGGCGGCGUGCCUAAUACAUGCAAGUCGAGCGAACAGACGAGGAGCUUGCUCCUCUGACGUUAGCGGCGGACGGGUGAGUAACACGUGGAUAACCUACCUAUAAGACUGGGAUAACUUCGGGAAACCGGAGCUAAUACCGGAUAAUAUAUUGAACCGCAUGGUUCAAUAGUGAAAGACGGUUUUGCUGUCACUUAUAGAUGGAUCCGCGCCGCAUUAGCUAGUUGGUAAGGUAACGGCUUACCAAGGCAACGAUGCGUAGCCGACCUGAGAGGGUGAUCUGCCACACUGGAACUAGGACGCGGUCCAGUCUCCUAGGGGGGGCGGCGGUGGGCAAUCUUCCGCAAUGGGCGAAAGCCUGACGGAUCAACGCCGCGUGAGUGAUGAAGGUCUUCGGAUCGUAAAACUCCGUUAUUAGGGAAGAACGAAUGUGUGAGUAACUUUGCACGUCUUGACGUUACCUAAUCAGAUGGCCACGGCUAACUACGUG